GUGGGGAAUAUUGGACAAUGGGCGAAAGCCUGAUCCAGCAAUGCCGCGUGAGUGAUGAAGGCCUUAGGGUUGUAAAGCUCUUUUACCAGGGAUGAUAAUGACAGUACCUGGAGAAUAAGCUCCGGCUAACUCCGUGCCAGCAGCCGCGGUAAUACGGAGGGAGCUAGCGUUGUUCGGAAUUACUGGGCGUAAAGCGCACGUAGGCGGUUACUCAAGUCAGAGGUGAAAGCCCGGGGCUCAACCCCGGAACUGCCUUUGAAACUAGGUAACUAGAAUCUUGGAGAGGUCAGUGGAAUUCCGAGUGUAGAGGUGAAAUUCGUAGAUAUUCGGGAGAACACCAGUGGCGAAGGCGACUGACUGGACAAGUAUUGACGCUGAGGUGCGAAAGCGUGGGGAGCAAACAGGAUUAGAUACCCUAGUAGUCC
rnacentral:rRNA from 1 species